CCACAGUAGUACUGGUCAUAAUCUGUCUGUCAACGCUGAUCGUGGGUAGGUCGAGCAGAGAUCGUUCGUUCUCUACUUGGCGUGCUGGUGUUGUGGCUCUAAAGAACUGCCUAGGUAUGGGAUCCAGCUUUGUGUCACAGAGGAAAUGGAUUCCAGCUUCCUGGCUUGACACUGAGGGCUGGACCCUAGGCCCAGAAGAAAUCCAGAGCUGGAUUAGAAGUCUAGCUGGUAGCUGGUCGCCUAUACUGCACUUGGAUGAGGGCGAAAGGCAGCAGGAGAGGCACUCAGUGCCCCAUUCCCAGACGAGGAGGGCUUCUCUCAGCCCUCUCCUCGCUGUCUCUCAGCCUGGCCACACAAACCUAUUGGAGGCUACAAGGAAGACAGAUGACAUCAAGGCAAGACCUAGAAGCCAGCCGGGCAAGCUGAGGAACAGCGCACUGGUUAAAGGAGCAAGGCAAACCAAACAGACAAGACUGGAGAGUGAAUACACAGCUCUCAGCUCAAAGGGGAUCAGG
rnacentral:lncRNA from 1 species